CAACCCGAGUUUUCUCUCCGCAGAAGACUCCUAAAAAAGGGUUGUGAUUAGUUACCAACUGAGAAAGAUGCAAUACAAAUAGGAAAUAACCGCAAUUUAUAAUUUUAUUUGUUUAUCUAAAAUUUGUCUUCCUCCCUAGACAGUAAGCUCUCUGAAGUCAAGAACCAUAGUUGUUUUGUUCACUACUGUAUACCCAGCACCUAAUAGUACUUGGCACAUAAGUACUCAGGGACUAUUUGUCAAAUGCAAGACCAUAUGCCCCUAAAGCAGGAGUCAGGAAAACCAGAAAAAAUGCCUUUAAGUAUUACAGAAAUGCUGCAGGCCUCCACUUAAAUUGAAAAGCAAGCUAACCCCUCUUGAUAAAAAUGUGGAUUGAGAUCAAGAAGCGGCUUCUCCGCUCCUUCUGGAAUCUCCACCUGGUUCAGCCUGCUGCCUCCGCUCCUGCUUCCACCAUGUCCAUCAGGGUGACCCAGAAGUCCUACAAGGUAUCCACCUUUGGCCCCCAGGCUUUCAGCAGCCGCCCCUACACAAGUGGGCCCAGUGCCUGCACCAGCUCCUCGAGCUUCUCCCUAGUGGGGAACAGCAGCUUCUGGAGUGGCCUGGGCGGAGGCUAUGGUGGGGCCAGCAGUAUGAGAGGCAUCACCACCAUCACGGUCAACCAGAGCCUGCUGAGCCCCCUUAACCUGGAGGUGGACUCCAACAUCCAGGCUGUGUUCAUCCAGGAGAAGGGGCAGAUCAAGACCCUCAACAACAAGUUUGCCUCCUUCACAGACAAGUACCGUUCCUGGAGCAGCAGAACAAGGUGCUGGAGACCAAGUGGAGCCUUCUGCAGCAGCACAAGAUGGCUGGGAGCAACAUGGACAACAUGUUCGGGAGCUAUAUCAACAACCUUAGGCGGCAGCUGGAGCCAGGAGAAGCUGAAGCUGGAAGCGGAGCUUGGCAACAUGCAGGGGCUGGUGGAGGACUUCAGGAACAAGUAUGAGGAUGAGAUCAGUAAGCGUACAGAGAUGGAUAAUUAAUUUGUCCUCAUCAAGAAGGAUGUGGAUGAAACUUACAUGAACAACGUAGAGCUGGAGUCUCACCUGGAAGGGCCAACUGUAUGAAGUGGAGACCUGCGGGCUGCAAUCCCAGAUCUCCAACAUGUCUGUGGUGCUGUCCAUGGACAGCAGCCACUCCUGGACAUGGACAGCAUCAUCGCUGAAGUCAAGAGGCAGUGCAAGGAGGUCGCCAACCGCAGCCGGGCUGAGGCUGAGAGCACGUACCAGAUCAAGUAUGUGGAGCUGCAGAUGCUGGCUAGGAAGCACAGGGAUGACCUGCGGCAUACAAAGACUCAAAUCUCCAAGAUGAACCGGAACAUCAGCCAGCUCUAGGCUGAGAUCGAGGGCCUCAAAGGCCAGGGGGCUUCCCUGGAGGCCGCCAUCACAGAUGCUGAGCAGUGUGGGAAGCUGGCUGUUAAGGAUGCCAAUGCCAAGCUGUCCAAGCUGGAGGCCACUCUGCAGCGUGUGAGUACCAGGAGCUGAUGAACGUCAAGCUGGCCCUGGAAAUGGAGAUCGCCACCUAUGGAAAGCUGCGGGAGGGCUAGGAGAGCCGGCUGGAGUCUGGGAUGCAGAACGUGAGUAUCCAUGUGAAGACCGCCAGCGGCUCUGCAGCUGAUCUGAGCUCGGCCUAUGUGGGCCUCACAAGUCGUGACCUCAGCUAUGGCCUGGGCUCCAGCUUUGGCUGUGGCACAGGCUCCAGCUCCUUCAGCUGCACCAGCUCCACCAGGGCCGUGGUGUGAAGAAGAUCAGGACCCGCAAUGGGAAGCUGGUGUCUGAGUCCUCUGACUUCCUGCCCAAGUGAACAACUGUGGCAGCCCCUCCUAAUCUGCCCCUCCUGUGGCUGCCACAGACUCCAGGAGGGAGGCUGCUGUGUGGGGAAGCACAGAGAACAGGAGACCCCCCUGAGGCUCAACCCACCCAUGGGGGAGUUUACUGUCUGGGGACCCCCCUUGCUCAUGCUUCCAGCUACAAAACAAUUCAAUUUUUUUUUUUUUUUUGUCCAAAAUAAAACCUCAGCUAGCUCCACCA